rnacentral:tRNA from 1 species
AAAAAGAUAAGCUAAUUCAAGCUAGUAGGCUCAUACCCUUUUUAUGGAAGUAUUAAAUCUUCCUCUUUUUA